rnacentral:rRNA from 1 species
UACGUAGGGGGCAAGCGUUAUCCGGAAUCAUUGGGCGUAAAGGGUACGUAGGCGGUUAUCUAAGCGGCGGGUGAAAGGCAAUGGCUCAACCAUUGUAAGCCUGUCGAACUGGGUGACUUGAGUGCAGGAGAGGAAAGCGGAAUUCCUAGUGUAGCGGUGAAAUGCGUAGAUAUUAGGAGGAACACCAGUGGCGAAGGCGGCUUUCUGGACUGUAACUGACGCUGAGGUACGAAAGCGUGGGGAGCGAACAGG